AGCAGCCGCGGUAAUUCCAGCUCCAAUAGCGUAUAUUAAAGUUGUUGCAGUUAAAAAGCUCGUAGUUGAAUUUCGGGGUCAGUAGGUCGGUCGUGCCACUGGUAUGAACUGGUUUUACUGAUUCCUCCCUCUUGAAGAACUGUAAUGCCAUUAAUUUGGUGUUGCAGGGAAUCAGGACUGUUACUUUGAAAAAAUUAGAGUGUUUAAAGCAGGCUUUAGCUUGAAUACAUUAGCAUGGAAUAAUGAAAUAGGACGUUUGAUCCUAUUUUGUUGGUUUCUAGGAUUGACGUAAUGAUUAAUAGGGAUAGUUGGGGGCAUUAGUAUUCAAUUGUCAGAGGUGAAAUUCUUGGAUUUAUUGAAGACUAACUACUGCGAAAGCAUUUGCCAAGGAUGUUUUCAUUAAUCAAGAACGAAAGUUAGGGGAUCGAAGACGAUCAGAUACCGUCGUAGUCUUAACCAUAAACUAUGCCGACUAGGGAUCGGAUGAUGUUAAUUUUUUAAUGACUCAUUCGGCGCCUUACGG
rnacentral:rRNA from 2 species